rnacentral:rRNA from 1 species
AGAGUUUGAUCCUGGCUCAGGACGAACGCUGGCGGCGUGCCUAACACAUGCAAGUCGAACGGAAUUUCGUUCAGCACUGAGUGUUCAUGAAGAUGAGCAUUGAGUGCUGAAUGGAAUUUAGUGGCGGACGGGUGAGUAACGCGUGAGCAACCUGCCUUUCAGAGGGGGAUAACGUUUGGAAACGAACGCUAAUACCGCAUAACAUAGUGGAGUCACAUGGCUCUGUUAUCAAAGGAGCAAUCCGCUGAAAGAUGGGCUCGCGUCCGAUUAGCCAGUUGGCGGGGUAAUGGCCCACCAAAGCGACGAUCGGUAGCCGGACUGAGAGGUUGAACGGCCACAUUGGGACUGAGACACGGCCCAGACUCCUACGGGAGGCAGCAGUGGGGGAUAUUGCACAAUGGAGGAAACUCUGAUGCAGCAACGCCGCGUGAGGGAAGAAGGUUUUCGGAUUGUAAACCUCUGUCCUCGGUGAAGAUAAUGACGGUAGCCGAGGAGGAAGCCACGGCUAACUACGUGCCAGCAGCCGCGGUAAUACGUAGGUGGCAAGCGUUGUCCGGAAUUACUGGGUGUAAAGGGUGCGUAGGCGGCUAUGCAAGUCAGGCGUGAAAUAUAUGGGCUUAACCCGUAGACUGCGUUUGAAACUGUGUAGCUUGAGUGAGGUAGAGGCAGGCGGAAUUCCCGGUGUAGCGGUGAAAUGCGUAGAGAUCGGGAGGAACACCAGUGGCGAAGGCGGCCUGCUGGGCCUUAACUGACGCUGAAUCACGAAAGCAUGGGUAGCAAACAGGAUUAGAUACCCUGGUAGUCCAUGCCGUAAACGAUGAUUACUAGGUGUGGGGGGUCUGACCCCUUCCGUGCCGGAGUUAACACAAUAAGUAAUCCACCUGGGGAGUACGGCCGCUAGGU